rnacentral:tRNA from 1 species
UCACUAAGAAGCAAGACAGGAACGAGCAAUAGCCUUUUAAGCUGUAUAUGGGUGACUCCUAAUCACCCUUAGUGAA